rnacentral:rRNA from 1 species
UACGUAGGUGACCAGCGUUGUCCGGAUUUACUGGGCGUAAAGAGCGCGCAGGCGGUCGUUCAAGUCGAGUGUGAAAGCCCCCGGCUCAACUGGGGAGGGUCAUUCGAUACUGAUCGACUUGAAGGCAGGAGAGGGAAGCGGAAUUCCCGGUGUAGUGGUAAAAUGCGCAGAUAUCAGGAGGAACACCGGCGGCGAAGGCGGCCCUCUGGAUCGUUGCUGACGCUGAUACGCGAAAGCGUGGGGAGCAAACAGG